AUCGAGUGAAAGAAACUUGUGAUAAAGGAGUAAAUACUGUACUGUUUCAUUUAUAUGAAGUACCAAAACAAGAAAAACUCAUCUAUGGUCAUUAAUAUCAAAGAUCAGUUGCGUUUUGGGUAGAGGAGAAGGGAGCAAAAAGGGGGACAAGGGAGAACUUUCUGGGGUGAUGAGAUUCUUGUGGAUGUUUGUUUUGUGUGGAUUACAGCUGUAUAAGCAAUUGCUGCAACUCAUUAAACUUAUCACUUAAUAUCUCUACAUCUUGUUGCAUAUAAAUUAUAAAUUAAGAAAAGCAAAAGAAUCAGUAAAAAUGUAUUAGUCCAAUACUAUACAAUGUCUCAAUCAAAAAAAUUCUUGAAAUUCUCUGUGAAUUAGUCUGCUCAACAGCAGAACAAAAUUAUAUGGUUUUUGUCUUAAGAAUAAUUUAAAAUAGGAAGAUUUUUGCAACAGAUUUUAAAAUUCCUCAACUUCCUUCAAAGGUGAUCAUCUUUGAUGUUUUCUUUUCAGAUGCCUGAAAAUAUUCUUGUGAAAGAGAAGAGGAUCUCUUAUGCUAUUUCUUAAGGGGGGAAAAAAAAAUCAGACUCGGUCAGCAACUUGUAACCUGUGCAAACUCUGUGACUGUCUCUAUGACAGCCUGAAGGUCAAAAGACCAGAUCAUCUCUACAUUAGUCAACUCUCCGAAACUCGAGGAUGUCAAUCAUUGGAAAGGAUCAGCUGACCUAUCUCCCCACAAGCGCUCUGACAGAUUUAAUGUUCACAGCAUCUAUUGUCAACAAAGAAAAUAAAGGGAGAAGAAACUCAAUUUGUAUACUUCCCUCCUAAGGCAUUCAAGGUACAGACUAGGAUAAAUAUGUUGUUUAUUUUCGGAACUGAUGGCAUUUACCUGUUUGCUUUUAUCUGCUGUUUCGUUUAGCUCAAAAGAUCUAACUUUCUUCUUUAUCUCUUCCUUUGAGCUAGCUGGAUGAGAUUUGCUAAGGACGGGAAAGCUAGCACUGCCAUGAUAGAAUGGCAGAAAUUGUUCCAGCAUACAGUGACUUGAGUAAACAAUUUGCUUAAAUUCUCCCCUCAAGAGCCAUGCAUAUAUUUCCAUUGUUACCAAAAGAGAUUGUUACUUGUUUUUAUUUGCAUCUUGCCUGAACAGAUCAGGGAGGAAAUGCAUGGAAUUUGGAGCAACACUCUCUUGGGUUUAUAUAUCCUAAAUCGAGAUCGUUUACCUCUCUGCGCCUAAGUCUGUCAUUUACAUAAGAAGUAUAAUACCAGUUAUAUCGUUUAGGAUUAUAUUUAGCUGCUGGUGACAGAAACCCCAAAUGUAACAGAGGCUUAAGCAAGAUUGACAUUUAUACUUUUUCUAAAACAAAACUGAACAAGUGGAUGAGGAUUGAUAUGGCGCUUAAUGCAUCAAGGGAUCAGAAAGAUUCUUUCUUUUAUCUUCUUAUUCCAUCAUUUGUGGCCUUUACUUCAUAGUUAAGGAAAGCAGAAUUUUGAUGGAGAGGCAAGAAAGAAGAAAGGAAGGAAAAAAGAGGGAGUGAUAAAGGGCACACAGAUGAUAUGUGAUAUGUCACAAAGAACAUGUCU
ensembl:lncRNA